CUUCGCCACUGGUGGUCCGCUCAGGAUUAUAGGAUUUCACCCCUACCCCGAGAAUACCGUCGGCCUCUCCCGCCCCCUAGCCUGAUAGUCUCUUCUGCAGCCCAACGAUUAGGUCGCUGGAUUUAACAGAAGACUUGUCAGGCCGGCUACGAACGCUUUAGGCCCAAUAAUUGUCCCUACCA
rnacentral:rRNA from 1 species